GUCAGAACCUGAGAGAUGGCAUUGGGAGGAAGACUCUCCCGGCUUUGAAGGUGGAAGGGAGCUAUGACCUAAGGAAUGUGGGUGACUUUGAAGGUAGAAAACGCUAGACUUGGAUUCUCCCCGAGAGCCCCUGGAAGGGAAUCUAGUCCUGCUGAUUUUAGUCCCGCAGGAACCGUUUCAGACUUCUGAUCUCUAGAACUGUAAGAUAAUAAAUGUGUGUUGUUUUAAAUCAUUAUGUGUGUAGUAAUUAGUUACAGCAGCCAUAGGAAAUUAACACACUGGCCAGAAUAAAGACAUUGAUUGACCUUCUUUGCAUCCAACUGUGGCUACCACUGAGUCCUGGGUGUAGGGGGAGUGGCUUUGUGACAUUUCUUGGGACUCUCAGGCAGCAGGCAGUGCCCUCUCAUCUCCCUCUUCAUCUCUUCCAUCCUGCUCCCUAGACGUGGAGGCCAACUGGACCACCAGGAUGAAGCCAUACCCUACAGAAGGUGGAGGUAUGAGCUGGAAGGAGCAGAGCCACAGAGCAGCCUUGAAAUUUCUACCUUAAUGCUUUGACAUGAGUCAUGUCAUGAGUGAGAAGUCAAUCUUUAUCUUGUUCAAGCCACUGUUAUCAUGGGGGCCUUCAGAAACUCACAGCUGGAGCCAAACCUAACUGUUUUGGAGAGAAAAGGCAUUAACAUUGACCUGUCAACGGAUCGAGUCUCUACAAGAUUGCAGAUAAGACUAAAGGCAAGCAACUGGGAACCAUAAGCUAACGGACGAGCUGUUAAACCUCCUGGAAUAGACUAAAAUCUCCAGAAGGCUACCUCCCUAGCAUCUAUGGCAGUGCCCAGCACAUAGUUGGCAUUCGACAAGUUGUGGACCGAAGGAAGCCUAUCUUAGGUGCAAGGUUAAAACAGCGCAGGGGGAGAGGCAAACCCUGGUAGAUGAGUGAGUCAUCACUACACGAGAAGUUCAGCAUCGCAAGAGAUAAGGAACAACACAGGACAACAAUCGGAGUUCACAGGCAGUGCGUGGGACUGGGACAGGAGAGACGGGAACAGGGAAAGAAUGAAGACUCUCAGAAGAUCCUGAAAUCCCAUUCUGAAUUCCUGACUGCAACCUCGGAAGUGUUUGUGUCUCGGAAAAUCCUAGACCUGUCCCAGCCCUGCGAGAUCCCACGCUGGGACCUCAGAACCUACAGGGGAAGGAAGCUCCGCGCUUCCUGGGCGCCUCUCACCAAGUUUCCUAUCUUCUCCAUCCGUGAGUCCUCUGUCCCCAGCACCUUCAGGCUUGACACCUGCCUUCCACGAGCCAUGCUUGAAACAGACUUUGUAUUUAAAAAUCCCAACCCCAGUGAAACGUGAAGUCCCUUCAAAGUGAGCAAAUAAAAUCCCAAGGAAGUCUCAUUUAGAAAUAGAAACUCUCAUGCCUUUUUUUUUUUUUUUUUUUACCGUGAUUUCUCUUCCACUGGAGAAGUUUCUUUAAAAAAAAAAGAAAAAGAAAAAGAAAAAAGCUCAAGAGGCUAGAUGGCUUGAAACCAAAAUGAGCUACUGAGCCGUCUUCACUAGAAUUCUGCUGGGGACAGCGGCGGCCUAGCAUCUCAGU